UGUGCUCUGCAGUGUGAGGUAGUUGGUUGUAUGGUUUCGCAUAAUAAACAGCACGGAGAUAACUGUACAACCUUCUAGCUUUCCCUGCGGAGUCAC
rnacentral:pre_miRNA from 20 species